rnacentral:tRNA from 1 species
GGGGUUGUGGCUCAGUGGUAGAGUGCUCACCUAGCAUGUGAGAGGCCCUGGGUUCAAUCCUCAGCACCACA